AUUGAACGCUGGCGGCAGGCUUAACACAUGCAAGUCGAGCGCGCGGCGGACGGGUGAGUAAUGUCUGGGAAACUGCCUGAUGGAGGGGGAUAACUACUGGAAACGGUAGCUAAUACCGCAUACCAUCAGAUGUGCCCAGAUGGGAUUAGCUAGUAGGUGUGGUAAGGGCUCACCUAGGCGACGCUCCCUAGCUGGUCUGAGAGGAUGACCGGACACACUGGAAUGGAGACACGGGCCAGACUCCUACGGGAGGCAGCAGUGGGGAAUAUUGCACAAUGGGCGCAAGCCGGAUGCAGCCAUGCCGCGUGUGUGAAGAAGGCCUUCGGGUUGUAAAGCACUUUCAGCGAGGAGGCGUUACUCGCAGAAGAAGCACCGGCUAACUCCGUGCCAGCAGCCGCGGUAAUUC
rnacentral:rRNA from 1 species